rnacentral:rRNA from 1 species
CAUUAGCCGCGGUAAUACGGAGGGUGCAAGCGUUAAUCGGAAUUACUGGGCGUAAAGCGUGCGUAGGCGGUUCGUUAAGUCUGUUGUGAAAGCCCCGGGCUCAACCUGGGAACUGCAUUUGUGACUGGCAAGCUAGAGUGUGGCAGAGGGGGGUGGAAUUCCGCGUGUAGCAGUGAAAUGCGUAGAUAUGCGGAGGAACACCGAUGGCGAAGGCAGCCCCCUGGGCCAACACUGACGCUCAUGCACGAAAGCGUGGGGAGCAAACAGGAUUAGAUACCCCCGUAGUCCCUGUCUCUUAUAC